GGUGGGGAUAAAAAGGCAUCUGUCUUUCUGGCCUUGACAAUCAAAUUAAGUAAUUGAUUGACAGAAUGUUGGCACCAGUUUUGGAAGAAUCGAUCAGCCUCAACUCAAGCCCUCUGUCCUGAGACACAACAACAGGAUGUGCCUUGGAAAAGAGUCUCAGGGUGAAGAAUUUGGAACUGGAUCAAAAUCUACACACUCAUGG